GGCAUUUCAUAAAUGAGGGCUAGAGGAGAAAAGAGUUCUUUGUGUAUCAGUCGGAUUUUCCAACCAUCUACAGUAUAGACAUGCUGCCCCAACUACAGAUACAAGGGAAAGCGUCGCUAGAAAUCCAAAAUGUGAGACAUCAUUUACAACUAUUGCAACUCCUAACAUUAUUGAUUCUGCUAAACUCGCAACCGAAACCUCGGUUGUUCCGAUAAGAUUGGCUUUAGAUGCAGGAAUUCCAGUUUGUAGAAUCUGUUGCCCGAUGACAUCAUAGGACAUGUGUCCCAGUCUUGACAACACAACUAAAGCCAAGAAAAAGAAAACGGGAGUUUGCUGAGAAAGACAUCCACU
rnacentral:misc_RNA from 1 species